rnacentral:rRNA from 1 species
GAUUAUGGCUCAGGAUGAACGCUAGCUACAGGCUUAACACAUGCAAGUCGAGGGGCAUCAUGAUCAAAGUUUGCUUGAUUGAUGGCGACCGGCGCACGGGUGAGUAACGCGUAUCCAACCUUCCCCCCAGUAGGGCAUAGCCCGGCGAAAGUCGGAUUAAUACCCUAUGUUUUCCAAUGAGGACAUCUGAGCUGGAACAAAGAUUUAUCGCUGGGGGAUGGGGAUGCGUCCGAUUAGGUUGUUGGCGGGGUAACGGCCCACCAAGCCCGCGAUCGGUAGGGGUUCUGAGAGGAAGGUCCCCCACACUGGUACUGAGACACGGACCAGACUCCUACGGGAGGCAGCAGUGAGGAAUAUUGGUCAAUGGGCGUAAGCCUGAACCAGCCAAGUAGCCGUGCAGGACGACGGCCCUAUGGGUUGUAAACUGCUUUUAUGCGGGGAUAAAGUGAGGUAUGUAUACCUUUUUGUAGGUACCGCAUGAAUAAGGACCGGCUAAUUCCGUGCCAGCCGCCGC